rnacentral:ncRNA from 2 species
UAUAGACAUCUCCUGCCAGGUGCCCGCAGCGAUGCGGGAGAAUCGGGAACACGGUGCAAAUCCGUGGCGUGCCCAACGCUGUAAGAGGGACCGCAUCGGCAAUAGCCACUGUUCGUAGAACGGGAAGGCGCCGGAGGCGGGCUGAACUCGAGCCAGAAGACCGGCCCGGCAGAAAUCGUCCAC